GAAUAUUAGUCAAUGCUCGAAAGAGUGAACUAGCUAACUGAAAUCAAUUAUAAAAAUUGAUAACAUAAGAGAAAAUAAUGAUAUUACCUUAUUAUUAGUGUCGUCCAAAACUGGUGCCAGAAGACUCGGUAAGGCCAGAGACACAAACGUUAAUCGUCUUAAUCAGGCGUAAAGGGUUUGUAGGCGGCUUUUAAUUAAUUUAUAAAAUAAAUAAAAAAGUUAAGAAUAAAAGCUAGAAUCAAAUAGAGGAUAAAUCAAAAAAUGCUUAGAGUAGGUCUGAUAUCCUUAAAUACUAAGUAGAAUAUUAAAGGCGAAAGCUUUUUUCCAUUAAUGAUUGACGCUCAGAAACGAAGGUGAGGAUAGGAAAUAGGAUUAGAUACCCAAAAUACCCCUCUCUGUCAACGAUGAAUGGUAAUUAUUAAUAAUAAAUUUAUUAAUGAUAAUGUUAACACGAUAACCAUUCCGCCUUGUGAGUACAACUGCAAAGUUGAAAACAAAAAAAUUAGUCGGUUUCGGAGCAAACGAAGUGAAGCAUGUUAUUUAAUUC
rnacentral:rRNA from 1 species